ensembl:lncRNA
CGGUUGAUGGGUCUCAGAUCCAGAAUCGGACGGAGUCCACCAUCUUUCUUUGGCACCACAAAGUAGCGGCUGUAGAAGCCGCUUUCCUGCUCGUUCGGAGGGACGCGCUCUAUCGCUCCUUUCUCGAGCAGACUGAGAACUUCCUGUCUCAGAACGGGAAGGUUUUUGGGCAAAGUCAGUGACGGGACCACGCCAUUGAAGCGGGGAGGUCUGCGUUUGAACUGAAGAGAAUAUCCGUGCUGAAUAAUUCCCAGUAUCCACGGUGAAACGCCCGGGAUAGCUCUCCACGCGUCCAGGAAGUGACACAGCGGACGCGUUAGCUCUACGGCCACCGUAACCACUGAUGGUGUGUUUUGACCGGCGCCCCGUCCCUGCGAGGCUAGAACCACUGGCGGGAGGGGGGCUCGCGGUGGGCAUUGUGUUGGCACUCUCGCGCCCUCGAGAGGCCAUUAUAAUCAUGGGUUGUGGCUCUGCGCUGCUCUGAGACAGGGCGAGUGACACAGUGUUGGGUGCAAGAGGAAGAAAAAGCUCUUUUUGUGGACGGAUACAUGUUUUUAUUGUGUAAUUCACACAAACAGCAUUUAAACCCACAUAGCAUUCGUCGCCCGUAGGAACAUGGAGAACAUGAUGCUCUUGAACAUGGCGCUUGGGGGCGGGGCCUCCAGCGCGCUCUCUCUUCCUCCUUAACGGCCCGUCAGGAAGAUGGCUUGGUAGCCGGGGAUGGCGCGCUGGCUCUCUCGCGGCGCGGGCUCCUCCUCUGACCCUGACGUUUCCUUCCAGGCCCUGACCACUGCUUGCUUCGGCCGAAACGAGCGUCCGGUUCGGGGCGGGGCGCCACGGCGGGCUGUCUAGCCGGUCCCUGAGCCUGGCGAGGCGCAGAAGAAGAGCGGGACCUCGCAGAUGGUGACUGGAGUGAGCGACGGGGCAUCACGUGGCUCAUCGCCUUGGCGCGCUUCUGCGUCUCGGAGAAACGCUCCGUGACCGACUCCACGGCGUCACCAAAGAGGCCGGAGGGAGUGACUGGAGCGUUUAACAGCGUCUUGCGGUCUGCAUCCUUCAGGUCAGCUAGGGUAAGCCACAGGUGCCUGUUAAGG